rnacentral:tRNA from 1 species
CCGACCUUAGCUCAGUUGGUAGAGCGGAGGACUGUAGUGUAUGGCCGUUAUCCUUAGGUCGCUGGUUCGAAUCCGGCAGGUCGGA